AGAGUUUGAUCAUGGCUCAGGACGAACGCUGGCGGCGUGCUUAACACAUGCAAGUCAAGGAUGCUAUAGCAAUAUAGCGAACUGGCGCACGGGUGCGUAACACGUAGGUAAUUUACCCUAAGGACUUGUACAACCCUGAGAAAUCAAGGCUAAUUCAAGAUGACACGGCGGAACCGCAUGGCUCUGCCGUCAAAGGCUCG
rnacentral:rRNA from 1 species